rnacentral:lncRNA from 1 species
UGGUCCCCUCUUGCCGCUCCUCUGCAAUCCCUUCCAUCCUGACAUGACUGAUAGACAAUGUGAUGCUAGUGAAGUGACCCUAAGCAAUGCAACACAGGUACAUUAAUUGAACCACCUUCAUACAACAUACAAACACUGCUUUAAAGCACAUAAAGAAAGUCCUAAGUCAAAUGAGUAAGCCUAUCCUUCGAUUAAAGUUUUUACUUAAACUUGAACUAAUUUAUUUUGCUAGGGCCACUUCCUAUUUACUUAUAUUUCAAAAUGAAUUUUAAGGUGAGGUAAAACAUACUUUACAAUCAAAUUCAACUGAAAUCAAACCAAAACAUUUUUUCAGUUUUCCAAACAUGUUCUCAUCUCAUUCCAUUUUUUUUUCAUUUUUCUCUCCUAAAAAUAUUUGUACAGAAGUUUAUUCAAUUAGACACUUCAUUAUCACCUAUUACAAUACAAAAGAAAGAGAAUCGAGAUUCAAGUUGAUUUUUGUUCUAGGCAAGAAGAAAGAUGAUCCCAGCUAGAGCAUUCAGUUUUUCCAGAAAUACAUUGUUAUCUAUCCCUUUCAAUCAUACAGCUAAAUCUUCUUCCCUUUUCUGUAUCUGGUCUUGUUUCUAUAGUCUUUUUGCAGCAUUAAACACUAUCCUGCCAUUUAGGCCAAUCUUCAAAAUCACCCUCUCCUGAAAAAGGGGGAUUUAUUAUUAAUAGGCUUUAUCUUAUGAUCGGUACUUGAUCUACUUACGCCACACAAUUGGACUCAACCAUGAUACCAAAAUUUUAAUCCCCAAUUUUUUUUUUCAUUUUAUGUUAUAUUUUAUUAUCUACAAAUGUUUAUUGAAAAUUUUACCUGAAGAAGGCUUGAUUGAGUCAUCAAAAGGAGAAAGUCUCACCAUCAAGUGCAUGUUUCAAUCAAUUUUGGAGUUGUUCCCGUUUAACCAAAGAUCUCAAAUUAUUGAAUAUGUAGUUGCAUUAACUGUCUCGAACAUGAUAUUUGAGUAUGGAGUUUGUGAUCUAAACCAACAAAAAAAAAGUGAGAGAAAUAUCUUCAUGAAUUGAAGUUAAUAUUAGUUUUUGUGUGAUGCAGGUAUAUGGCAGUUUCGUGUGCCAGGUUUCACCAUCUGAGAUAUGCAUGACGCAGGGGCG